rnacentral:rRNA from 1 species
GCUGAACUCUAGCUACAGGCUUAACACAUGCAAGUCGAGGGACCGGCGCCCGGGUGAGUAACACGUAUCCAACCUGCCCUUUACGCGGGGAUAGCCUUUCGAAAGACAGACUAAUAACCGAUAUAAAGGAUGGGGAUGCAUUCCAUUAGGUUGUUGGUGAGGUAACGGCUCACCAAGACUGCGAUGGAUAGGAGUUCUGAGAGGUAGGUACCCAACGUUGGAACUGAACCACGGUCCAAACUCGUACGGGAGGAAGCAGUGGGGAAUUUUGGUUAAUGGGCGCUAGCCUGACCCAGCCAGGUAGCGUGAAUGAUGAAGGCUGAUGGGUCGUAAACUUCUUUUAUAUAAGAAUAUGUAUUAUAUUAAUAAGGAUCGGCUAACUCCGUGCCAGCAGCCGCGGUAAUUC